ACUAUAUCUAGCCCAUACCCCUCCUCAUCACAACUACUAUAAGUCAGUCAAAUAAAACAUUUACCAUACAUCUAAAGUAUAGGAGAUAGAAAUUUAAUUAUCAAUGGCGCUAUAGAGAAAGUACNNNNNNNNNNNNNNNNNNNNNNNNNNNAAAGUANAAAAAAGCAAAGUUUACCCCUUGUACNNUUUGCAUAAUGAUUUAACUAGUAAUAANUUAGCAAAGAGACCUUAAGUUAAAUUACCCGAAACCAGACGAGCUACUUAUGAGCAGUAACUAGAACAAACUCAUCUAUGUGGCAAAAUAGUGAGAAGACUUGUAAGUAGAGGUGAAAAGCCUAACGAGCCUGGUGAUAGCUGGUUGUCCAAGAAAGGAAUUUCAGUUCAACAUUAAACAAUACUAAAAACCAUANNNNNNNNNNNCGUAUGUUUAACUGUUAGUCUAAAAAGGUACAGCUUUUUAGAAAUGGAUACAACCUUUACUAGAGAGUAACAUAAAACUUAAACCAUAGUUGGCCUAAAAGCAGCCAUCAAUUAAGAAAGCGUUCAAGCUCAACAACAAAAAUAAGUUUUAAUUUNAAUAAUAGACAAAAACUCCNAGCCUGACUAUUGGACUAAUCUAUUUAACUAUAGAAGAAAUACUGUUAAUAUGAGUAACAAGAAAAUUUUUCUCCUUGCACAAGCUUAUAUCAGUAACUGAUAAUAUACUGAUAGUUAACAACUAAUAAAUAUAACCUAACACUAAACUAUUUAUUAAUCGUACUGUUAAUCCAACACAGGUGUGCACCAAGGAAAGAUUAAAAAGAGUAAAAGGAACUCGGCAAACACAAACCCCGCCUGUUUACCAAAAACAUCACCUCUAGCAUAACUAGUAUUAGAGGCACUGCCUGCCCAGUGACAAUCGUUAAACGGCCGCGGUAUCUUGACCGUGCAAAGGUAGCAUAAUCACUUGUUCUCUAAAUAAGGACUUGUAUGAAUGGCCACACGAGGGUUUUACUGUCUCUUACUCUUAAUCAGUGAAAUUGACCUCCCCGUGAAGAGGCGGGGNUAAUACAAUAAGACGAGAAGACCCUAUGGAGCUUUAAUUAAUCAACUCAAAAAGCAUAAAAUAGUACCACCAAGGGAUAACAAAGCUUUACAUGAGCUGACAAUUUCGGUUGGGGUGACCUCGGAGUAUAAAAAACCCUCCGAGUGAUUAAAACUUAGGCCUACCAGCCAAAGUAUAGUAUCACUUAUUGAUCCAAAAUUUUGAUCAACGGAACAAGUUACCCUAGGGAUAACAGCGCAAUCCUAUUCUAGAGUCCAUAUCGACAAUAGGGUUUACGACCUCGAUGUUGGAUCAGGACAUCCUAAUGGUGCAGCAGCUAUUAAGGGUUCGUUUGUUCAACGAUUAAAGUCCUACGUGAUCUGAGUUCAGACCGGAGUAAUCCAGGUCGGUUUCUAUCUAUUACGCAUUUCUCCCAGUACGAAAGGACAAGAGAAAUAAGGCCAACUUUAAAAAAGCGCCUUCAAACAAUUAGUGACCCAGUCUCAACCUAAUAACCUAGCGCAAACAUACCCUGCCCAAGAUCAGGGCUUU
rnacentral:rRNA from 1 species